ACAGUGUCUGGUGGGUAGUUUGACUGGGGCGGUCUCCUCCUAAAGAGUAACGGAGGAGCACGAAGGUUAGCUAAUCCUGGUCGGACAUCAGGAGGUUAGUGCAAAGGCAUAAGCUAGCUUGACUGCGAGCGUGACGGCGCGAGCAGGUGCGAAAGCAGGUCUUAGUGAUCCGGUGGUUCUGAAUGGAAGGGCCAUCGCUCAACGGAUAAAAGGUACUCCGGGGAUAACAGGCUGAUACCGCCCAAGAGUUCAUAUCGACGGCGGUGUUUGGCACCUCGAUGUCGGCUCAUCACAUCCUGGGGCUGAAGUAGGUCCCAAGGGUAUGGCUGUUCGCCAUUUAAAGUGGUACGCGAGCUGGGUUUAGAACGUCGUGAGACAGUUCGGUCCCUAUCUGCCGUGGGCGCUGGAGAAUUGAGGGGGGCUGCUCCUAGUACGAGAGGACCGGAGUGGACGCAUCACUGGUGUUCGGGUUGUCAUGCCAAUGGCACUGCCCGGUAGCUAAAUGCGGAAGAGAUAAGUGCUGAAAGCAUCUAAGCACGAAACUUGCCCCGAGAUGAGUUCUCCCUGACCCUUAAAGGGUCCUGAAGGAACGUUGAAGACGACGACGUUGAUAGGCCGGGUGUGUAAGCGCAGCGAUGCAUUGAGCUAACCGGUACUAAUGAACCGUGAGGCUUAACCUUACAACGCCGAAG
rnacentral:rRNA from 1 species